UGCCCGUUAGUCAAGGGGUUAAGACGCCUGGUUCUCAGCCAGGAAACACGGGUUCGAAUCCCGUACGGGUGA
rnacentral:tRNA from 1 species